rnacentral:lncRNA from 1 species
CUCCUCUCACCGUGGGCUCCAGUCAGCCUGCUCCGCGGCUGUGCUCAGGAAUUGUUUUUAAGAGAAUGAUGAGGAAGUGGUGGGGCGUGGUGGCGCACCCAAAGCUUUGAUGCCAGCGGAGAAGCCCAAGAGGAGGCUGUCUGGUUCUCAGUUAACCUGGUCAGCAUGGUGAGUUCUAAGCCAGCCAGGGUUACAGGGAGACCAAAACCAAAACCAAAACAAAUAAACCAAAACAAAAACGAAAAAACUGCUCAGCGAUUCAACACAAACUCCGGAUGUCAGCCAGGAAUAACUCUAUUUAGGAAGAAACUGUAACUAAGGAUCCAAUGAUAACUAGUCUCGCAGACGUGAUGCGCCCCUCGCUUCCUCCUAAGCGUUGAGACACCACAGGGGACUCACCGAGCUGCCAGGGGCUCCACGACGACAGCGGCGCGACCGGGACCCCCAACAGGACUCGGCGAAGGAAACCGCGGGAGUUUUCGGGUCUAGGCCUUCGCAGAUCCAGGGUACUCACGCGUGAAGGCCUGGUUUGGGGCUGGGGUGGGGCUGUGGACUGGAGCCUUGGAGCCGCUCUCUGCCUGGUCUGCGAUCGCUGGAAAAGCUGAGGGGUCCGGGUGCGGUACUGGCGCUCAGGGAGGAGGAGCGAGUGGGAACCUGGAAGAGAGGGAACGCAAAGCGAGGAUAGAACUCGGCAGAGGCUGGUGGAGCCCGAACCCCAGACCUGAGGAGACCGUGCCUGGCGAGGCUUCGCGAAUGGGUUUCUGUGGACGCAGGAGGGCAGAAGAGCCAGCAGGGGAAGGAGCUACGGAACCCUUCACCUGUCUGAAUUUUUAACUAAGUCGACGAUCCUUACACUCACACACGAAUAUGCCGGGAUCCUCAAGUUACUUCGUAGCUCUUAGCAAUUUGCCUGUGACUCUGUGACUGCUGUUCGAAUCCGAGACCUGGGAAUGGGCUUUCUACGGAGCAACUGUGGUUUUCUUUCACUUUCCAAUCCCCAAGUCACUGCUUCAAUUACCAGCGACUACAGCGCGAGCAUCACUCAGGACUACUGAAGCAGAAGAAAGUAUGGAAACUGUCUGGUGCACACUCAAACAGGAGAACUUGGUAUUGGUGUAAUCAAUCUCGCUGCCAAGUGCUCUAAUGCCAUGGUGUGGCCAGAUUCGUUUUUUGGUUUUGUUUCUGUUUUGUUAUCUCAGAUAUCUCGAGCCAUAUCGACUUCUAGGCCAAGUUUGAAAUGAGAUCUGAGUUCUUACUCCAUGAGGUAUUUUAAAUAAUCUUAACAAUAUACUAAAAAUAAAAACCAAGACAUUUCCCUUCACAGUGAGUGAUUUGAGUAUUAAUUCAUACCGAUUGAAGAGCACGGGUAACCAGAGUGUAGCCUGA